rnacentral:rRNA from 1 species
UACAGAGGGCUCAAGCGUUGUUCGGAUUCAUUGGGCGUAAAGGGUGCGUAGGCGGCGCGGUAAGUCGGGUGUGAAAUCUCGGAGCUUAAUUCCGAAACUGCAUUCGAUACUGCCGUGCUUGAGGACUGGAGAGGAGACUGGAAUUUACGGUGUAGCGGUGAAAUGCGUAGAUAUCGUAAGGAAGACCAGUGGCGAAGGCGGGUCUCUGGACAGUUCCUGACGCUGAGGCACGAAGGUCAGGGGAGCAAACGGG